rnacentral:rRNA from 1 species
AUUGAACGCUGGCGGCAUGCCUUACACAUGCAAGUCGAACGGCAGCACGGGUGCUUGCACCUGGUGGCGAGUGGCGAACGGGUGAGUAAUACAUCGGAACGUACCUUAUCGUGGGGGAUAACGCAGCGAAAGUUGCGCUAAUACCGCAUACGCCCUGAGGGGGAAAGCGGGGGACCGUAAGGCCUCGCGCGAUUAGAGCGGCCGAUGUCUGAUUAGCUUGUUGGUGAGGUAAAAGCUCACCAAGGCGAUGAUCAGUAGCUGGUCUGAGAGGACGAUCAGCCACACUGGGACUGAGACACGGCCCAGACUCCUACGGGAGGCAGCAGUGGGGAAUUUUGCACAAUGGGGGCAACCCUGAUCCAGCAAUGCCGCGUGAGUGAAGAAGGCCUUCGGGUUGUAAAGCUCUUUUGUCAGGGAAGAAACAGCAGCUCUAACACAGUCUGCGAAUGACGGUACCUGAAGAAUAAGCACCGGCUAACUACGUG